rnacentral:rRNA from 1 species
UUGAGCUUGAUCAUGGCUCAGAUUGAACGCUGGCGGCAGGCCUAACACAUGCAAGUCGAGCGGAAACGAUGGAAGCUUGCUUCCAGGCGUCGAGCGGCGGACGGGUGAGUAAUGCAUGGGAAUCUGCCCGAUAGUGGGGGAUAACCUGGGGAAACCCAGGCUAAUACCGCAUACGUCCUACGGGAGAAAGCAGGGGAUCUUCGGACCUUGCGCUAUCGGAUGAGCCCAUGUCGGAUUAGCUUGUUGGUGAGGUAAUGGCUCACCAAGGCGACGAUCCGUAGCUGGUCUGAGAGGAUGAUCAGCCACAUCGGGACUGAGACACGGCCCGAACUCCUACGGGAGGCAGCAGUGGGGAAUAUUGGACAAUGGGCGAAAGCCUGAUCCAGCCAUGCCGCGUGUGUGAAGAAGGCCCUCGGGUUGUAAAGCACUUUCAGUGGGGAAGA